GCCACUGUUUUUCAAGAAAAAAUUUCAAAAGCUUUUUUUUCUCUCAACUCUCCCCUCUCCAGCCCCACCUCCGGCCUAAAGUCCGGCCGAUCGCCGCCGCUCAGGCCGCCGGUCGCCGACGCCGGUGCCGCCGUAUGCGGCGGUCAGAAACUCAUAAAGGUGCUUGUGGCGGUGGCGACGUGACCGUGGCAGUGGCAAGUGGGCAGGUGGCUGCAGGCAGCGGUGGUAGAAGAAGACCCUAGGUGCGGCGCACCUAGGGUUAGGGUUUCCUAUUUCUUUUUUUGUGUUGGGCCAUUUGGGCUGUUUAGGUGUUGAUAAUUAGGCUAGGGUGUAGGGUUUAAUUUUGUUGGGUUGUAUUUGGGUCUGUAAUGGGUUUGAGUAUUGGGUUAAAAUUUUGUAAAUGGGCUAUUUUUGUUUUGCAGGUAUGGGCCGAGCAAUAUUGGUUGUACAACUACAAUAGAUCAAUACACAUUGAGUAGAAUAAUAUACAUUAAAUA